rnacentral:tRNA from 1 species
GGCGGUGUAGCUCAGUUGGUUUAGAGCAGCGGAAUCAUAAUCCGCGUGUCGGGGGUUCGAGUCCCUCCACCGCCA